CUUUGGAAGACAUGUAAGAGGAAAGUCAAUAUGAGACCCUGGAAUCAGACAUAAAGUGCCCCAGUAUAGGACUAUAUAUAGAAGAUGGAAUUGGAAGCCAGAGCCAGAAUUUGAGCCCAAGUACUCCAGUAUAGGAUACAGGCGUCUUAACCAGCAUCUUUACCCUAGAACAAAUGUGCAUCCUUCCCUCUGCAUCUUUAUCAACAUUUGAAAUCAGAGAUUAGAACACAGAAUGUACAUUCACAGAGGGAUGCCCAUAUGAGGACACAGCACAAAGUCUUUCUGCAAGUCACACAGAGGCCUCCAAGGAAACCACAGUCUUUGCAACUCUAUCACAGUACCUUGAAUAAUGCCCAGCACACUGUAGAUGAGGCUAUGAGUUCUGUUAUGGAAAGUUCCAUGUUUACUCUGUUCAACAUCAAGCCCACGUCAAGCACGGAUCCUGUGCAAAAACAGGGUGCAGCAAAUUUGGGGGGAAUGAAUAAACACUCAGGUGAACUGAUUAAAAGAAAUGU